GUAGUCACUGUGACCAAAGCAAAUGGCUUGAAAUCAUUUCCUGGUAAGCUUCAUUUUACAGGGUGCAACACUGGCCCCAAAGACUUGCUACUCCACGACAGCCGUAUUACCGAGGGCAUUGUUUCGAAAGGAUGCUAAUCCUGUUCUAUCCAGAGCCCAGGACCAGGGUGUACAUAUGGCCCCCUAGAUUUGAUCUCCGCCGUGCAGGCCACGCGUCUCUUCAACUGAGCAAUGGCGCCUACAUCAGCUGGUGGCCCAAGGGUGGUAAAGGUUCCUUUCUUAAAGUACCUGGAACUCCGCGUAGAACUCUUGAGGAAGACAUCGAAGAUGAGAAAACACUGCCAAGCUAUGUGAUCAUUAUACCCGGGUACAUAAACCUGGAUGAAGAGGCCGUUGAAGGAUGGUGGAACAGUUGGAAGUUGGAAGGCAAUUGGGAUGCCUAUCACACCUGUUGUUGGGUGAUCAAGGAAGCUCUUUCUCAGGGUCUGAGUGCUAAUUUUACAACUGAUUGGCCAUGUUGGAUAAAUGAUGUCUCCGACCUAGUGGAUUGCAUAAGAAGCAUCCCUGGCAGUUCGUUUCGUGAUUGGUCAUAUGACCUCUUUUUACAAUACCAAAGGGGCUAUUGGCAAAAUCUUAAAACAAAAUAUGGAAAAAAUUUAGAAAAUAUUAAUUUAAUGUUUCUGAAAGCCUUACCUAGACAUCGAGUUUCUAUAAACAGGAACCAAACCGGUUGCGUUUGCACGUUUGCAUGUUUGUGUUUAACUACCUGGGUCUUAUGGACUUUCACCAAACGUGUUUCCUGGGGGAGAAAUAUUUGGAGUGUUGUGCCUAUAAUACUCUAUACGUAUUGAUAUACUGUUGUAUUUACUUGUUGGAUGACAUUGAGACACGGUCAAGGACAAUGUGAUGUAGUUUAGUGGUUCACUUGGAACCUCUUGCUAGACCCCAGUGUCGUGUCGGUGCAUAGCUGCCUGCAAGGCCGCGAACAGAAGGUUUGCACUCGAUCAUAUCGAAUAUGAUAGCCUCGGAUUUAGACCAUAACUUUCAACGUUGGAAACAGAUCACAGAGUGUGUGCAUGUUACAUCUACUAAAUACUUGGAGACAUUUACGAAUUUGAUUGAACCAACAAUUACUUUCUUUGAUGUUUAUUUUAUUAAGUUGUUGUAAUGACUUGGGCAGACUCAGAUGAUGUAUCUGAUUGACCCUGCUUCAUCAUACCUAUUGUUAAAGUAUAACGAGAUAAGAAUGCUUGUGUUUCAGAUUUUGUGUAAUUUUUUCUCUCUCGAUUAAUGCCGAACGAAAUAAGUUUGAAAGUCACAUACAUUGGUUCUUGUCUCAUGAAGUAGAUUUUAGCAAUAUUGCAUAGUAUAUGUCAUUGUUAAAUGAUAUUAUCAGAAGGUAUGUUCUUGUUCAGAUGUUUGUUAUACGAUGAUUGUUUGCGUAAAUAAAGUAUUGUUAUCAAAUACA